rnacentral:lncRNA from 1 species
AAGGAUUGGAAUGCAUAUUACUCAAACAGUAGCAUCAAAUUCAUGAUGGACAAUACGCAAAACAUUGCCUUAUUGAACCAAUGGUAAUAAAUUGACAUGCAAAACAAUAGCACUAUGAUGUCAUGACACUAGUAAUAUUCCCUCCCUGCUCCACCACAUGAUUCACCUCCAUAGACAAACUGUGACGACCUCGAUUUGACCGUACACUAAUCAUAUAUGCAAAUGUGUAUGAUCAAGAUCAAGGACUCUCGAGAAGAUAUCACAACACAACUCUAGACACAAAUUAAAAUAAUACAAGCUUUAUAUUACAAGCCAGGGGCCUCGAGGGCUCGAAUACACAAGAGUCAGUGGAAGCAACAAUAUCCGAGUACAGACAUAAGUUAGACAAGUGUGCCUUAAGAAGGCUAGCACAAAAGCAACAACGAUCGAAAAGGCAAGGCCUCCUUCCUGGGAGCCUCCUAACUACUCCUAGUCCGGCGGUCUUCACGUAGUAGUAGGCAUCCUCCAGGUAGUAGUAGUCAUCGGUGGUGGCGUCUGGCUCCUGGGCUCCGUCAUCUGGUUGCAACAAACGGGUAUGAGGGAAAAGAAGUAGCAAAGCAGCCGUGAGUACUCAUCCAAAGUACUCGCGAGACUUACAUCAGAUCUAAACUAAGUAUGCAUCUGUAUCAAAGGAAUGGGUUGUAUCUAUGGACUAAACUGCAAAAUGCCAGAAGGGAAGGGGAAAGCCUAGCCUAUCAAAGACUAGCAUCUUCUGGAAACCACCAUCUUGCAGCAACAGGAGGGAGUAGAGUAACAUAAGGUAAAGUAGCAGUAGAGUUAUCAACCUCGGCCAGAGAUCCUUUCUCGACUCCCUGCGAGAAAGCAAUCCCAGAGCCAUACUAUCUAGUUAUCAUCUCAUAUCCAAGUCUCAUCACAAUCCAUUUCUCAUCACAAGUAUCCAGUUCUAGUUGUAUCGAUCGAGAUACAACUCCAAGUGUCCGUUACCGUAGGACAGGCUAUCGAUAGAUGUUUUCUUCCCUGCAGGGGUGCACCAACUUACCCACCACGCUCGAUUAACUCCAGUCGGACACACUUUCCUGGGUCAUGCCCGGCCUCGGCCAAACAAUACGCCACAACCUGACCUAGGCUUAAUAGAGAGGCCAGCACGCCGGACUAAACCUAUGCCCCCAGGGGUCAUGGGCCAUCUCCCCGGGAACUCCUGCACAUUGCGAACGUGGCCGGUGAGCAGACCUAGCUACCUCAUUCAACAAGGCAGGCGCUUACGCAGUCCAACCCGGCGCGCGCCGCUCAGUCACUAACGUCUAUUAAACUUCGGCUGAUGUAUACGACGCAGAACGCCCAUACUAUGCCCAUGUGAUGGUUAGUGCUAUCAGGCCAGAGGCCCCUCGGAUCAAAUAUCCAAAUCGUAGUGGGUUGGGAGCACGCGGUAACAAGCAGAGACUCAUGAAAGAUGUGACCCCGUUGCCCCGUCUCGAGUACUUGCGGCAAGGGCUAAGAAUGCCCGGCCAUGCCUCCUAGUUAUAUCGCGGGCACCUUCCAGGUCAACCCGACUCCAGAUCACUCGCUAUUAAGCUCGCGUGGGUACCUUCCAGGUCAACCCGUCUUUAGUAACAUGGUUCAGUGUAAAGUCAUAGUAACCAUAGUAACCGUGUGUCUAACACCAAGUGGAAAACCCCGAGGAAUCACCCUCGGUGAAUUCCACUCGAUGUUGUCAUCAAGGUGAACGUAAGAGGAUCCACCCUCGAGGUUCACAUUUGAUGGGUUGUGCGACAGAGCCGUAACGGAAGUGGUUAAGGAGGAAAUCACCCUCGAUGACCUCGACCGUAUAGCUACACUACAGAGAUCUCAUCAGGAGUGAUGUAAGAGGUUCCACCCUCGGCACUCGAUGGUAACUCUGCAGAGUCGUACAACUAAGGGGGUGAUGUGUGGUGUCGGGGUCUGGACGUCGAUCACGUUGAUCGAGUCAUCUAACAUAAAGCAAGGCAACUGGGACAAGGUGGGGUCACUGAUGGAUCACUAACCAACCUAUACUAUGCAGUUUAGGAUAAACAUGUAAGGUAUGAAAGCAGGUAACAACAACAGGCUAUGCAUCAGAGUAGGAUCAUACAGAAAGCAGUAGCAGUUCUAAUGCAAGCAUGAGAGGGAAAGAAAUGGGCGAUAUCGGAAUGCUCAAGGGGGGUUUGCUUGCCUGGUUGCUCUGGCAAGGAGGGGGUCGUCGUCGACGUAGUCGAUCACAAGGGCAGCAUCGGUCUCGGGGUCUACCGGAGAGAAGAGGGGGAAGAAACAGUAAAUAUAAAGCAAACACAGCACCACAAAGCAUAACAUGGCAAUAAGAUGUGUCGGGUGUGACCUAACGCGGUAGGAGGUGAUACCGGCGAAGGGGGGGAAACAUCCAGGAAAGUAUCCCCGGUGUUUCGCAUUUUCGGAUGGAUGAACCGGAGGGGAAAAGUUGCGUGUUCGCUAUGCUAGGGAUGCGUGGCGGACGAACGGGCUGUGUACAACUUUCAUGUACAACGUUUUUCCAUCCGAGCUACGGCUUAUUUUAUAUUAAUUUUAAAAUAUUUAAAUCAUUUUUAGGAUUUAUUUAAUUGAUUUAAUCAACAUUAUCCAGAAUAGUGUUUGCUGACGUCAGCAUGACGUCAGCAGUCAACAGGGGUGUUGACUGGUAAAACUAACGUGUAGGUCCCACCUGUCAGUGACACAUUUUAAUUAAACACAUUAAUUAACCUAAUCAGGAUUAAUUAGGGGUGGGCCCCACUCUCAUUGACUACUUAAUUAACUAAUUAACUAAACAGGUUAAUUAGUUAACUAAUGUGUAAUUAGUUUAAUUAGUUGUUUAAUUUAAUUAAUCAAAAUUAAUUAAGUUAAUUAAUUAAUUAAUUAAUUAAUUUUAUUUUUAUUUUUAUUUGUUUAAAAAAACGUUCUGUUGGCGGGGCCCCUCUAUCAUAGGCCCAGGGGGCGCUAAUGGGCACGGGCACGCGGGCGGGCGUUAACGGGCGCCGGGGCUCUGCGAGUUACGGGCUUCGCCCGUGCGGGCGCUGCAGCCCGGCGCCGNNNNNNNNNNNNNNNNNNNNNNNNNNNNNNNNNNNNNNNNNNNNNNNNNNNNNNNNNNNNNNNNNNNNNNNNNNNNNNNNNNNNNNNNNNNNNNNNNNNNNNNNNNNNNNNNNNNNNNNNNNNNNNNNNNNNNNNNNNNNNNNNNNNNNNNNNNNNNNNNNNNNNNNNNNNNNNNNNNNNNNNNNNNNNNNNNNNNNNNNNNNNNNNNNNNNNNNNNNNNNNNNNNNNNNNNNNNNNNNNNNNNNNNNNNNNNNNNNNNNNNNNNNNNNNNNNNNNNNNNNNNNNNNNNNNNNNNNNNNNNNNNNNNNNNNNNNNNNNNNNNNNNNNNNNNNNNNNNNNNNNNNNNNNNNNNNNNNNNNNNNNNNNNNNNNNNNNNNNNNNNNNNNNNNNNNNNNNNNNNNNNNNNNNNNNNNNNNNNNNNNNNNNNNNNNNNNNNNNNNNNNNNNNNNNNNNNNNNNNNNNNNNNNNNNNNNNNNNNNNNNNNNNNNNNNNNNNNNNNNNNNNNNNNNNNNNNNNNNNNNNNNNNNNNNNNNNNNNNNNNNNNNNNNNNNNNNNNNNNNNNNNNNNNNNNNGAUCCAGAACUAGGGGUCCGGGGAGGAGGGCGAGGCGUCCGGCGAGGGGGCCCCAUGGCGCCGACGUCGAGGGGGGGCGCGGGACGACGCCCAGAUCGAGCGGGAGACGGGGGCAGUUCCCCCAAUCCAGAUCGGGGGAGGAGGGAGCGAACGUGGGGGGAUGCGAGUGCAUGGGGGGUUAGGGUUUCUGGUGCGGGGGGGUGUGGGACGCCAAGUAGGCCGGGGGUGGGCUGGCCUGGGGUUGGCCUAGCUAGCAACUGGGCCGACUGGGUGGUUUUUUUUACCUUUUGUUUAUUUUCUUUGAGCCACUAAAAGAGUUUUGUUUAAUACAGAACUUGGCACAAAAAUACAAGGCAAUAACCUGGGUUGGUACAAAAGGUUCCAAAGCAUUUGGGGAGUGUUCAACUAUUUUUUUGAAAUUGAAAAGCUCAAAUAAUUGGCUGUUGGUCCACUGAAUAAAAUUUUCAGGGGCACUGCAGGUAUCCAAAAGAGGUUGGUUCAACCAUGAAAAAGAUCAGGUGAAAUUAUAGAAUAUUGUGAACAUUUUAGCUUUACUGUUUUAUAGAGUUAUGAUUUGACUUGGCCAUAGAAUUUGGAUUUGAGUUUGAUGUUGAAGCAAGGUGAGGAUUAUCAAAAUAAUUAUGAUGAACUAGCAUCAUUAGGCAUGAGAUUACUGUAGCAUGACACUGGGGGUGUUACAAGUCUCCUCCACUACAAGAAAUCUCGUCCCGAGAUUUAAGUGGGGAAGUAAAGAGUAACUUCGGAGAACUGACUCUUAAAGGGUUGAUUAUCUAGUGAACAAUUCAGGAAAUGAGGCAGAAGUAUCUCUCGAGCUGAAACUUAAUAACAUCGAGAGCAAAGUAUGAAGGUACAAUAAGAAGUUACAACUGAAUGGACAAACGAUUGAUACCUGAACAGAGUGUGAGAAAUGGGUUCAGAGCAUCGGGAAUAGAUCAUCUCUCAGAAGGUGGCUCAUGACAUUAUAUGAAGCCAAGUGUAAAGAAUAUUUCGGCAUCAAGGUUGUACAGGAGAGUCAGAUUUCGAUCAUGUGGAACUGUGGGUUAUGGGCCCACCAUGUGGGUUAAAAGAAGGAAAGGCGCUAUUCCUUUUGAACGGUCAUGAUAGCAAGGCAUGUCAGAGGGUAGCCUGCUAGUUAUGUCGGCAACAAUCGUCGGUACCAAGGGCGAGGGACGAAGAGAACCACUCUUCUGCUCGUUGAACAAGGCGGACCAAUAGGCAAAGUUCUCGUCCAUCGGUGGCUACCAGAAAGUCGUCCACAAUAGUAACAGGGUCUUACUCAUAGUUUGUACACCGAGGUGUUUACAUAAGCAGGGAAAUAUUUCCGCUUAUAUCACAUAGAUCACCAGAAAGGUCAAACAAACCAAUGGAAAGGAAAAUGUGAUCUAAGCAGAACAAUGGAAAGGAAAAAUGUGUUUAAACACAUAUUUCAGGGGUAUAUCCUUCCCAAGGACAAGCAGAGUAUGAUAUCCAUGACAGGAUAGAAGUAUAGAACCAUUUAGGUAAGGGGAAGAAAAUUCCUGACAUUACCCAUACAACGGUGUUUGGAUAAUUGAUAAAGAAAAUUUAGUAUCGUGCUUCAAAUGUUCUCAUUGGAGAUCGGAUCACCACAGACAUGCUUCGAGAUAGCAUUGACAUGGUUUCAAGCAAAGGUCAGACUUUGGAUACACCAAGGAUCCAUCGGAAACAACCUAGAAAAUAAGUCAUACAAUUUUAGUAGGGAAAAGAUAAGAGUGUGUCCGACGGGCUCAACCACAAUCCAUUGGCAUGUCAAAAAGGAUGUAUUUCCAAAAUUAUAUGAACAAGUUUGUGUUGGGGAAGGCAAGAAUGUUGUCGAUGAUAACAUAAAUCAUUGAGGGGAAGGAUUGUAUUUCUCCUCAUUAAUUUGUUUUAUAUCCUGGAAAAGCUCAGAAUGUUGAUGAUGAUCACGACACAUUUGUCGAGAGAUUUCAUGAAGAUGUAAUUGAUCGGCGAUGACAUCCAGACAAAGGAAUGAUGAAGCGAAAGGUUAUUGGAACCACGAGUACGACACAAACUCGAAAUUAAGCUUGCUGUUCAAGGAGAAAUGAUAAGAUGGGGAAGAUCGACGUAAGCUUAGCUCAUCGUCGGAAGUUGCUCCGGGCAUAAGGACCAGGUAGCACAGUUAAAAAGUUGACAAGAUAAAAAUAUAGCCGUUCAGGCUAGGAAUGAUGCGAUGGGGUAUAAAGCUUCCCAGUAUCAAGUACUAGGUGUAAUGCCAGAAGGUAAAUCGGAGUAGAGGUUGGACGGGGGAAUGUUUUGUUGGGGAACGUAGUAAUUUCAAAAUUUUCCUACGCACACGCAAGAUCAUGGUGAUGCAUAUCAACGAGAGGGGAGAGUGUUGUCUAUGUACCUUCGUAGACCGAAGCGGAAGCGUUGACGCAACGUAGAGGAAGUAGUCGUACGUCUUCCCGAUCCGACCGAUCCAAGCACCGUUACUCCGGCACCUCCGAGUUCUUGGCACACGUUCAGCUCGAUGACGAUCCCCGGGCUCCGAUCCAGCAAAGCGUCGGGGAGGAGUUCCGUCAGCACGACGGUGUGGUGACGAUCUUGAUGUUCUACCGUCGCAGGGCUUCGCCUAAGCACUGCAACAAUAUGAUUGAGGUGGAAUAUGGUGGAGGGGGGCACCGCACACGGUUAAGGAACGAUCAUGAAGAUCAACUUGUGUUGUUCUGGGGUGCCCCUGCCUCCGUAUAUAAAGGCUCAAGGGGGGGUGCGGCCAGCCUAGGAGAGGCGCGCCAGGAGGAGUCCUACUCCCUCUGGGAGUAGGAUUCCCCCCCCCCCCAAUACUUGGGGUAGUUCCGCUUCCAGUGACCAGUCCCUUUGCAGUAGAAGCACUUAGUCUCAGGCUUAGGACCAGACUUGGGCUUCUUCACUUGAGCAGCAACUUGCUUGUUGUUCUUCUUGAAGUUCCCCUUCUUCCCUCUACCCUUUUCUUGAAACUAGUGGUCUUGUCUACCAUCAACACUUGAUGUUUUUCUCGAUUUCUACCUUCGUCAAUUUCCGCACUACGAAGAGCUUGGGAAUCGUUUCCGUUAUCCCUUGCAUAUCAUAGUUCAUCACGAAGUUCUACUAACUUGGUGAUGGUGACUAGAGAAUUCUGUCAAUCACUAUCUUAUCUGGAAGAUUAACUCCCACUUGAUUCAAGCGAUUGUAGUACUCACACAAUCUGAGCACAUACUCACUAGUUGAGCGAUUCUCCUCCAUCUUUUAGCUAUAGAACUUGUUGGAAACUUCAUAUCUCUCAACUCGGGUAUUUGCUUGAAAUAUUAACUUCAAUUCCUGGAACAUCUCAUAUGUUCCAUGACGUUCAAAACGUCUUUGAAGUCCCGAUUCUAAGCCAUUAAGCAUGGUGCACUAAACUAUCAAGUAGUCAUCAUAUUGAGCUAGCCAAACAUUCAUAACAUCUGCAUCUGCUCCUGCAAUACGUCUGUCACCUAGCGGUGCAUCAAGGACAUAAUUCUUCUGUGCAGCAAUGAGGAUAAACCUCAGAUCACGGAUCCAACUCGCAUCAUUGCUACUAACAUCUUUCAACACAAUUUUCUCUAGGAACAUAUCAAAAUAAACACAGGGAAGCAACAACGCGAGCUAUUGAUCUACAACAUAAUUUGCAAAAUACUACCAGGACUAAGUUCAUGAUAAAUUUAAGUUCAAUUAAUCAUAUUACUUAAUAACUCCCACUUAGACAGACAUCCCUCUAAUCCUCUAAGUGAUCACGUGAUCCAAAUCAACUAAACCAUGUCCGAUCAUCACGUGAGAUGGAGUAGUUUCAAUGGUGAACAUCACUAUGUUGAUCAUAUCUACUAUAUGAUUUACGCUCGACCUAUCGGUCUCCGUGUUUCGAGGCCAUAUCUGUAUAUGCUUGGCUCGUCAAGUAUAACCUGAGUAUUCCGCGUGUGCAACUGUUUUGCACCCGUUGAAUUUGAACGUAGAGCCUAUCACACCCGAUCAUCACGUGGUGUCUCAGCACAAAGAACUUUCGCAACGGUGCAUACUCAGGGAGAACACUUCUUGAUAAUUAGUGAGAGAUCGUCUUAUAAUGCUACCGUCAAUCAAAGCAAGAUAAGAUGCAUAAAAGAUAAACAUCACAUGCAAUCAAAAUAUGUGACAUGAUAUGGCCAUUAUCAUCUUGUGCCUUUGAUCUCCAUCUCCAAAGCAUCGUCAUGAUUUCCAUCGUCACCGGCAUGACACCAUGAUCUCCAUCAUCUUGAUCUAUAUCAAUAUGUCGUCACAUGGUCAUCUCGCCAACUAUUGCUCUUGCAACUAUGUCUAUCGCAUAGCGAUAAAGUAAAGCAAUUAUAUGGCGCAUGCAUCUUAUGCAAUAAAGAGACAACCAUAAGGCUUUUGCCAGUUGCCGAUAACUUCAACAAAACAUGAUCAUCUCAUACAACAACUUAUAUCUCAUCACAUUUUGACCAUAUCACAUCACAACAUGCCCUGCAAAAACAAGUUAGACGUCCUCUACUUUGUUGUUGCAAGUUUUACGUGGCUGCUACGGGCUUAAGCAAGAACCAAUCUUACCUACGCAUCAAAACCACAACGAUAGUUUGUCAAGUUGGUGCUGUUUUAACCUUCGCAAGGACCGGGCGUAGCCACACUCGGUUCAACUAAAGUUGGAGAAACUGACACCAGCCAGCCACCUGUGUGCAAAGCACGACGGUAGAACCAGUCUCGCAUAAGCGUACGUGUAAUGUCGGUCCGGGCCGCUUUGUCCAACAAUACCGCCGAACCAAAGUAUGACAUGCUGGUAAGUAGUAUGACUUAUAUCGCCCACAACUCACUUGUGUUCUACUCGUGCAUAUAACAUCAAACCAUAAAAACCUAGGCUCGGAUGCCACUGUUGGGGAACGUAGUAAUUUCAAAAUUUUCCUACGCACACGCAAGAUCAUGGUGAUGCAUAGCAACGAGAGGGGAGAGUGUUGUCUAUGUACCUUCGUAGACCGAAGCGGAAGCGUUGACGCAACGUAGAGGAAGUAGUCGUACGUCUUCCCGAUCCGACCGAUCCAAGCACCGUUACUCCGGCACCUCCGAGUUCUUGGCACACGUUCAGCUCGAUGACGAUCCCCGGGCUCCGAUCCAGCAAAGCGUUGGGGAGGAGUUCCGUCAGCACGAUGGCGUGGUGACGACCUUGAUGUUCUACCGUCGCAGGGCUUCGCCUAAGCACUGCAACAAUAUGACCGAGGUGGAAUAUGGUGGAGGGGGGCACCGCACACGGUUAAGGAACGAUCAUGAAGAUCAACUUGUGUUGUUCUGGGGUGCCCCUGCCUCCGUAUAUAAAGGCUCAAGGGGGGGUGCGGCCGGCCUAGGAGAGGCGCGCCAGGAGGAGUCCUACUCCCUCUGGGAGUAGGAUCCCCCCCCCCAAUCCUAGUUGGAAUAGGAUUCGUGGAGGGGGGAAAAGAGAGAGGGGGGCCGGCCCCCUCUCCUUGUCCUAUUCGGACCAAGGGAGGGGAGGGGCGCGCAGCCCAUCUAGGGCUGCCCCUUCUCUUUUCCACUAAGGCCCACUUAGGCCCAUAUAGCUCCCGGGGGGUUCCGGUAACCUCCCGGUACUCCGGUAAAAUCCCGAUUUCACCCGGAACACUUCCGAUAUCCAAACAUAGGCUUCCAAUAUAUCAAUAUUUAUGUCUCGACCAUUUCGAGACUCCUCGUCAUGUCCGUGAUCACAUCCGGGACUCCAAACAACCUUCGGUACAUCAAAAUGUAUAAACUCAUAAUAUAACUGUCAUCGUAACCUUAAGCGUGCGGACCCUACGGUUCGAGAACAAUGUAGACAUGACCGAGGCAUGUCUCCGGUCAAUAACCAAUAGCGGGACCUGGAUGCCCAUAUUGGCUCCUACAUAUUCUACGAAGAUCUUUAUCUGUCAGACCGCAUAACAACAUACGUUGUUCCCUUUGUCAUCGGUAUGUUACUUGCCUGAGAUUCGAUCGUUGGUAUCCAAUACCUAGUUCAAUCUCGUUACCGGCACUACUAGGAAAAGGCCUACUAAUGCCGCACCUAAUUUGGCCAUUAAUGGCGCAUUAGUGGUGCGCCAUUAGUAGCACGCCAUUAGUAUAUUUUACUAAUGGCGCACCACUGGUGCGCCAUUAGUAUCUGGUAUACUAAUGGCGCACCCCAGAUGCGCCAUUAGUAUAUACAAUAGUGCGCCAUUAGUAUGCCUCCCAGGGGGCCAUGUAUACCCAGGUGCUUUGGCAUACUAAUGGCGCAUGACAGCAAGAUGCGCCAUUAGUAACUUCGGCAUACUAAUGGCGCACUGUUUAAUGAUGCGCCAUUAGUAUCCUUUGGCAUACUAAUGGUGCACUAUGAUGUGAUGCGCCAUUAGUAUGAAUAUUAGGUUUUUUUAUUUUUUUAUUUUCUGUUUUUUGCAUAGGUUACAAAAUGUAUAAUUGGACAAAAUAUAGACAGCACACAUCAACAACAGAUUCAUCGAAUACAAUAGAAGAUUAGUCUCUGAAUACAAUUCAUCAUUUUAGUCUCCGAAUACAAGUCAUCAUAUUAGUCUCCAAAUUGAAAAGACCAAACAAAGAUAGAACAUUAUAUUACAAGUCUCGAGACCGCAAGUUUGUCUUCACAUUACAAGUCGAUAUCGAUCAUCUAAACUACCAUCACAUAGAAGAGAGUUGUGGUCAUCACGAUGAGCAUCAUCACGAUGAAACUCGUCUUCAUCCGGUUCCUCCAACGCUCCCUCCCCUCUCCCGCUAGAUAGCGGGCGUAUCUAGAUUUGGCCUUGGCCCUAGUGGCGUACCCUUUGUAACUGUUACCGCUGAAUCGGUGAACCUGUCUCCGACACUCCUCCCAGUCGUCGUAGACUCCGGGAACCUUACCCUUGUACACGACAUACCACGGCAUCGCUAUGCAGUAGCCAAACAAAACGUUAGUACCAAUUCACAGACAAUACAUAAGCAAUAUAUAAGUAUGCAACAGAACAAUCGGAAGAGAAAAGCAAGACAUUAAUAGCAUCGAUUACAUCUUAAGUUGAACGACUCUCGAAACCAAAGAGACAUACUACAAGUUCAUUAAAGUUUAAUUACAACAUGAGCCAAUCGAUGUUUCAGAACUAGACACAGCAUCACUGCUUUCGACUCGACUCAAGGGACCGGAGCGUGGAUGAAGCCGUCGUCUAUCGUGGGAGUCAUGAAAGAACGGGCGUUGUCAGCCUGCAUUUGUAGGAUUGUGUCGAUGUCACUGUUGGACGGUUGAUUUUUGAGGUAGAACUGCCCCGCGGUACGAAGGACAUCUUGGUGGAUGAUUUCCGCAAACUCCGACUGGAUGCGAAAGAAUUCUUGUCUGAUGUCCGCGUCCUGGAUUGCUGACACGCUCGCGGCCCAAUCUUUGAGUCUACUCGGUAGCAGAAGUUGAUGAUGGUCCCGUACGAUCGCCCGCAUGUGAUGGAUGGCGUAGUAGGCACCCUUCUGACCGCCAGGCGGCUGCUUGACGCAGCAGAACGUCAUAUUGUGGGAGAACACGUGCUUGCCGUACUUACGAAUAGGCCUGGUGAAGGUGCCUCCAGAUUUGACGUAGCUAGGGAGAACAUCAUCAAGAACCUUCUUGACAUUUGUGUAUUCUACGUUCGACUGACGGUCCGGGUCGAAAUACGUGGCCAUGGAAUAUUUGGGGCUUAGGAGGAUGAGCGUGCAACGUGUGUCACUGCAGAAAACACGGAAUGUUAAAAGAAAAACGAUCGAAAUCUAAGAAUUCAUAUGUUACGGGGCGGUUGAGGGGAGGACUUACUCGGGAAAGUAAGGCACGAGGAAGUUAUCCUUAUCUUGGUUUGCCAGAAUGACGCCUUCGAGGUAAGAAGUCGUGACUUGCCGGUCCCUAGCGCUGCCCAAGAUCUUGGCACGCAUGUAGAAGGGGUCGACUAUCACGAUGUCCGGGGUCUUGUCGCGAAUGAUCCGCAUCUCCAUACUCAGCGAAAUAGCCGAACGAAGGUGUAGUGCAGCGGAUGAAGGUUCAACAUAGCAUGGAUGUCAUCAAACCGUAGGACGAUCGUACCCCCGAUGGAGUUAUCCACAAAGCCCUUGCCCUCUGGCACCUUGGCCGCGAAAACCGGGUAUGCCACAUCCUUCUCUCCGAGACGCCGCUUCUCCAAAGAAAGAACACUAUCAUGCAGACUCCGCAUAGCACCGAUUGCAGCAUCGAGCAUAUUUCUCGGUAGCAUCGGCCUACCUGCCACAUGCACCCUCCUCGAGAUAUCCUCAGGUGAAGGUGGCCUGUCCUGAGCACGGAUCGUACUCGGUGCCAGCUGGCACGCACCCUUGUUAGUCUUUCUUUUGCGUGCCUUCUUCUUCUCCUGUAAUGGGACCGAGUUCUGCUCACAGACCGCCUUCUUGAGUGUGUUGGGGCUGAUCAUAUUUCGCACCUCGCCUAUCUGAGGCUCGGUGAAGUCGGCAGCUGGAGGCGUCUCCUGAGAGCUGAACUGCAGACGACGCCUGUUGCAACUUGGCUUCUCCGUGGUACCAGCUAGAUCGCGCACGUCUUUUGUUGGGUUGGGUUCUUGAGAAGGAGGCCCCAUGAAGUCGCCACCGUACCCAUGAUCGGCAAAGUACUGAUCGAUGUUGGCAAAUGUAUCGUCGUCGUUGUCGUUCUGAUCCUGUGCCAUAUGCAUGUUUGGAUCCAGUGGCAUAGGGAUGUCCGGCACCGUUGCGGCGGCCUUGCCAUGGGGCCGACUUGGCGCCGGCACGACUGGCGGUGUUGUCUUUGGGGUUGUGUCCCCCGCCCCCAAACGAAUCUGGCUCUUCGGCCAAAGCAGGGGCCAGCUCAGGCAGGCGCUGAGGGUCAUCACGUCAUCAUCGUCGGCCCCGACGGGUCGAAUCGGAGGUAACAACUCGUCGCAGCCUGGCAGCACCCGAACCAGUUGAACCCUAAACAAGUUGGGUGGCAUCUGGGUACCGUGGAACAAGGGGUUGCCCGGUUGAAUGAUUUUGCCCUUGGCGACAUCGACCAACUCAUUGUUCACGAAGUGCAGGAGAGUGCACGAAACGUCGGCGGCGCCCUGCGAAAACAUGUAGGGCGUCAGGGAUGCCCAGUCAAAGGCAAGGAGAUGAAGUCCUCGGUCGAGAGAGGCUUAAUUAGUUACCGUGAUGUUGACGUCGAGCUCUCCUAAUGUCGAGGCACCGCCAACGACGGGCGUGCAGUUGACGGAGGGGUCGCUUGCUGCAGAGGUGCCGGCCGACGUACACCCGGGUGCAUUAAGCUCCCGUGCCGGUGUCGGAGACACCAAUGCCGCCUCCGCCGGAGACACCAAUGGCCCCGCCAUCGCGUUUUGCGAGUUGCUGGCCGUGAAGCUAGGAAUCGGGGGCGGCCCCUGUUGGCCGCCCGCAAUCCACGCACUAAUCCCCUGGAUCAAGGUAGGCACAAUGGCGGUGAUCGUCGCUCCGAGUUGUUGUUGCACUUGCUCUUGGACAAUCUUCAGAAUCCGCGCCACCUGUGCCCUGAGUUCUUGAACCUCGCACGCCUGGCUUUCCGAGCUGGUCUUUUUCUCCUUUCGCCCACCAGUGUUAUAGUAUGACGACCAUUUUGUCGACAAGCCUUUGCCGGCCACACGACCAGCUGACGUCGGCUUACUGAGCUUAUCCUUGUUCUUCAUUACAUUCAACGCCCUAUUUAGAGUGGUGUCCCAAGGGUUUCUCUUAGUCGACCCCGCGCUACUGCUUUCAGUCGCCUGCGGAAGGAAUGUGAACCAUUUUGAAAUUUGGCUUCAUUAAUUAGAAUGCAACCAUAUGGACCUAAUUACGCGGGGGUGUAUUCCUACCAGAACAAGCUCAAGCGCCCUGGUCUUCGGAUCCGUGGUAAGCUCCUUUGUUUUCGGGUCCUUCUUGUACCGGGCCCUGACAAAGUUCCUGGUCUGCUUGUCACCGUAUUUAUCAAAGAGGGGCGGUAGGCCUUGCUCGACACGGUCCGCCUCCUCCUUGUCCCAUAUAGGCUCCGCCACUCUGUAAUCGCCGGGACCGAGUGUGUGUUCCCCUAAGUUCAGCUCCCACAUUUCUUUCCCCCACUUACUUGAUUCGGAGCUUGCGGUGCUCGAGCAAUUGAUCUUGAAGUCGUUGUAGUCAUCUUCGGUGAUCGAAGGAUUUUUCUCCUUGAUCUUCUCAUAACUCUCACCUUUCUUUAUCAUUCUCUUCACAUUGCUUUUCCAAGUAGACAGGACCGUGCUCAUCUUCGUGAGGGCAGCAUUGUUCACUUUAUUCCCUUUGAGGCUUGUGUUUUCAAAUUCAGCGGGGAACUUGUAUCGUUCGUGCAGCUUUGUGAAGAGGAGGUUGCGCAAAUUCCCUCGGUCAGGAUGCCUGAGGUUCUCGGUGUUGAUCGAGACGGUGCUCCGGAGAAUGCACCCGAGCUGAAGCGAGUACCCCUUGACUAUUCGUUCGGGCGCCGUUGGAUUCCCGUUGGAGUCCACUUCAGUAACUUCCUCCUUGAGGGUGCGGAGCACGGUUGGGCGCCGGUCCUUCCGUUGCCUAUUCGGUUGGCUGCCAUCUGUGCGUGCGCCGCCAUCAUCAGUGGUGGCAUCCUCGGCGGCACCAUCAGUGGUGGCAUCAGUGGGGUCAUCCUCGGCGGUACCAUCAGUGGUCUCAGGAUCGAUGGGGAAGGCGGCGUCCUCAUACAAGUGAGGUUGUUCCUCCAUCUCCUGGGACAGCUCCCAGAAUUUCUUGCCGCCCGAACCCCCGGCCUCAUCGUUGUUGGCCAUGUUUCUCUAUAAAUAGGAACAAAGUUUGGUCAAAAAGUUGGUUAUUGUCAAGGAACAAGAUCAUGGUCUCAUCAUUUAGGGUUUGUCGAUACCGAGGCAUCGUAAAAGCUAAGCUUUUAUCAUUGAGGGUUUUUCGACGCCGAGGCACCCUAAAAGCCUAAGAUUUCAUCAUUUCGGUUUUUAUCGACACCGAGGCACCCUAAAAGCCAUGCAUUAGUCACAAGUACGCUGGGGCACUUGAUCCUACUUAAUUAACUACUAAGAUACCCCGGCCCAUGCAUUAGUCACAAGUACCCCAUAUGUCCUAUUUUUAGCAAAGUCAUGCUAAAAUUCACGGAAAAUUUCAGCAUGACCUUUGCUGAAAAUAGGACAUAUGGAGUACCCGAAUUUGCCGGAACGGAAGUUAAUCGACAUUCCAGCAAACUCAAGGGCCUCUCAGGUGGACAAGGCAAAAAAGGACACGAUGGUCGGAGACAUGACCUUUGCCUAACAGUUCUGAACUCCUACCAAAACUGAACACAACAUAUAUAUACCAAGCAUCUUGCCAGCUAGUAGACCAGCUAGUAGACCAUCAUUUAUCAGGCCAAAUUGAGGCCAAACAGAAAACCAAUGUGGGCAUGGCACAAAGUCCAUGACCCAGAACAGGAGACAUACCAAGCACUAAAUGAGGACAGAAACAGACAUUUAGAACAAUUAGUUAUUAGCUAAAAUGUCUUGCUUGAAUGCAUCACAAUUUAUUCACUACUCCAAGGAGUACUAUUUCUCACAAUCCCAAGGAGAAUAACUGGCAACAGAAAACAAAACACUUAUGGUAGUAUGUUGAUGUCCAACCAAUGCACAGAAGUUAAAGGCACCCAUUUAACUACGAAACAGCAUUUUUUUGGAGCAACACUCUUAACACUGGAGAAUGAAAACUGAACUCAGUCAUUACUCAUUAAUACAACUUUUUUGGUAGCAAAGUAGAUUGACAACUCUUGCAUAAGAGAACAGGAAAGUAGUGAUUGUAUAAUAAAUCAUAUAACUUACAGGAGGGGUUAUCCGAUAUUCUGGCUUUAUAACAACUUGUAUGCCCACUGCAGCGAAACAAUGAAUUACGUUAGUAACCAUGAACUGUUCUCAAUAACAGUACAGAAGGGCACAAUAUUGGGCAGUUUGUUAGUCUGGCAUGGUAGCAACAGUAAAAUAUAUACAAGCAAGCACUCCCUUCUCUGUAUACCAAUUCAAAGUCCAACCAAUGUCUCACAAUAUUUUUCAAUUUUCAGCAUGACCCCCUUCUUCGCGAGGAAGCAUGCUCUGACAAGCUAAGUUAAGUUACACAUGUAAUGGCCAAAUUGGGGGAAAUUACUAGCUAAACAAGUUUAAGCGCACACACAUGCUGGCUACAAGAGAAACGAUAGGGUUAAAAGACCAACAAACAAACUCAUGUAAAACUGCCUCAGUUUCAGGUCUAGAUUGUUCAAUUCCACUUUCCACUCAUGAAACCACUCUCAGUUCGAUCGAACGAAAGAUCAAUAGUGGCCAAAACUGAAGAAAAAACUGAAUAAAAGCAUGACUUGCAUACAGAGCACAUACCAAGCAGCGGCCUAAAAUAUCAAGCAUCAAAUUAGUAGCAGUAUCAAACUGGAAAAAGUACAUCCAUUGAUUUCUAAGAAUUGGUAGCAUUACCAAAUUAUCAACUAGCACUAAGCAGCAAGCAGCAAGUAGCAAAAGGGCACUGAUUUAGUACCAUUGACAGUUCACAGCAGCAAAAAUCUGAGACGUACUAACACGAGCUAUCAAUCACAGUAGCAAAACAAAUCCAUUCGUCCAUCUAUUCAAUAUGCAACAGCAACAUCCACCCAUCCGGCUAACAAACAGAGGGGUGGGGAACAGGGAGAUGAGAGGCACCUAUUCUCGAAGGAGAUGUGGGCGGCUGGUCGAAGCAGGGGCGACGGGAGGGCCGGGGGCUUGUCGAAGCAGAGCAGCAACGACGGGGGGGGAGGGCCGGCGGGAGGCGGCCAGGCAGGGCCUAGCGCUGGCGAUGCUGAGAGGAAGGGGCCGGCGAUGCUGACCGGGCCGGUGAGGCAGGAUCGCCCUGGCGGCGGCGCGGAUCCUCCCUCGAAGGCUCGAACCCUAGCCGCUGUGGGAGGAAGGAGCGGGGUGGCAAAGGAGACGACUGUGGGGGCGUGGGGACUGCAGAGCGGGAGGAGGAGCCCGACGAGGUGGACGGGGCGGCGUCCGGGCCGCCGGCGACGAGGGGGAGGAAGGGGAGAGGGAGGCGNNNNNNNNNNNNNNNNNNNNNNNNNNNNNNNNNNNNNNNNNNNNNNNNNNNNNNNNNNNNNNNNNNNNNNNNNNNNNNNNNNNNNNNNNNNNNNNNNNNNNNNNNNNNNNNNNNNNNNNNNNNNNNNNNNNNNNNNNNNNNNNNNNNNNNNNNNNNNNNNNNNNNNNNNNNNNNNNNNNNNNNNNNNNNNNNNNNNNNNNNNNNNNNNNNNNNNNNNNNNNNNNNNNNNNNNNNNNNNNNNNNNNNNNNNNNNNNNNNNNNNNNNNNNNNNNNNNNNNNNNNNNNNNNNUUUUAUAAGACAGUAAUAAUUUUUUUAAAAAUAUCAUCAAACAGUAAUGACGGUGGAGCGGGGAGGGUGCGCGGGGUGCGGGGGGUCGGAGGCGGCGAUUGAGUAGGGGAGGGGUGCGGGGGGUCGGCGGCGGCGGUUGAGUAGGGGAAUCGAGGGUGCGGGGGGUCGGCGGCAGCGGCCGGUGGACCGGGGGGUGCUCGGCGGUGAGGGGGACCGGAUCUGGCGAGGUGGGAUAGCGAUCGAGAUGGAGGGGGAUCGAGAUUGAGUGUCCAUGAAAUUUUAAAAUAUUCAUGAUAGUUCAAAAAGUGCCCAUGAAAUACAAUCGAGAAAUGAAGGCUACGAUUUAAAUACAAUCGAUCUUAGCUAGCUAUCUGUUCACAAUCUUCUUGCCCUUCUUUUUCGCAAAUGGAGUUCUUCUGUGGAACGGACGUCCUUUAGGUAGGGUGGUCCUGCUUCUUCUUGUGGUGUAUGCUGCUACUUCAUCAUCGUCGUCAUGUUCGAUCCUCGGGUCGCCAUACUUGUCGAAGUCUUGCUCAUUGGCUACUCCAUCCAUUCGAAUGAUCUUCCUUUUGCCUCUCAUCACGACAACACGACUGGGCUUUGACGGGUCGGUAAUGAAGAAGCAUUGGUCCACUUGGGAAGCCAGUACCCAUGGCUCAUUUUUCGCGGUGACGUUUGCACCCGCGGUCUUGGAUUUGGCUUCGGGUAUAACCAUGGUGGUGAAAUACCGGUCUUCUUUUAGGACGCUCUUGGCCCAUCUGACACGGAACAUCGGGACCUUCUCUCCAGCGUAGCUCAGCUCCCAGAUCUCCUCGAUCCUUCCGUAGUAUCUGUCCUUGUCGUUACCGGUGUAGGAUUCCAUUGUUACCCCGGAGUUCUGAUAACCAUCGCUCUUCAUGUCCUUGGCCUCGGUGUAGAAUGUGUAGCCGUUGAUAUCGUACGCCUCAUAGGUCAUCAGGUUGUGCUCGGCGCCCUGUGACAAGGCGAAUAUGAGUUGUUCUUCUGUGGAAGAAUCCUCAUGUAAAGGGUACGACAGAAGCUUCUGCUUGAACCAACGCGUGAAACAUGAGUUGUGCUCUUUGAGUAUAUCUCCGUCCGUCCUCUGUUGGCCUCGGUCAUUGUACGUCUUCUUAAUAAAGGUUUUGUGUUGUACCACCCAAGGAUCGACCACGUCUAUGUGUUGUAGCGCGACUAGGUUUGCUCUUUCAAAGUCGGCGAGUCGACCCUCGAAGUCCACAUGCAUUUCGCGACGACCCUCACGGUGACCCCAUCCAGCGAGCCUGCCGAGGUGCCUGUUGAUGGGCAGACCAACGGGGUUCUCGAUGCCUAGAUAAUUCGUGCAGUAGGAGAUGCACUCUUCGGUCAGAAAGCCCCUGGCUAUGCUUCCCUCUGGACGUGACAUGUUGCGAACGUAUCCUUUGAUGACACCAUUCAUCCUUUCGACCGGCAUCAUGUUGUGCAGGAACGUCGGCCCGAGUUGGAUGAUAUCGUCCAUGAUAUGGACCAGCAGAUGCACCAUAACAUCGAAGAAUGCGGGCAGGAAGUACAUCUCAAGCUCGCAUAGUAUCACCACGAUCUCUUCCUGUAGCCUUCUAAGUUGCCUCACGCCAACAGACUUCCGAGAGAUGACGUCGAAAAAGUUGCAUAGGCCAAAUAGGGUUUCACGGACGUGCGCGUCCAUGAUCCCACGGAUUGCAACUGGAAGUAUCUGCAUCAUCAGCACGUGACAGUCGUGAGACUUCAUCUCGCUGAACUUCAGCUUCGCUGGGUCUAGGUAUCUGCUUAUCUUCCCCGCGUAACCGUAAGCAAGUUUUACUCCUACGAGACAGGUGAAAAACUACUCGAUCUCCUCCUAACUUAGAGUGAAGCACACGGGAGGGUAGUCAUUUCCGGUCUUCUUGGCCUUCUUGCCUUUGCGACGACUUUCCAUGUCCUGCUUCGCCUCAUCAUCAUCAUCAUCAUCAUGAUCAUCAUAUAUAGCGUGAAGCUCCUGCCUGAUGCCCAUUGAUUUCAAGUCUGCCCUUGCUUUCGGCCCAUCUUUGGUCCUCUCUGGCAUGUUGAGCAGGGUACCAAGCAGACUCUCGCACACGUUCUUCGUGAUAUGCAUGACAUCAAGGCUGUGAGGCACACGGUGGAUCUUCGAGUACGGCAAGUCCCAGAAAACAGACCUCGUUUUCCAUACCUUCAGCAGCGGCUCUGGCGCCUUUCGCUUCUUUCCCGGCUCUGGCGCCUUUUGCUUCUUUCCCGGCAGUGGGCAGUCUUUCCAAUUUUUCAACAGCUCGUCUAUUUCCUCGCCGCUCCUCGUACGCGGGCGUCCUCGGGGUUCGGUUUCACCAUCGAACAGAUCCUUGCGUUUUCUCCACGGGUCAUCAUCGCGAAACCACCUUCGAUGUCCCAUGAACACGGUUUUCAAAGACCCGGGAUCUCUAUCUAGCUGGCGAUACGUUGUGUCAUCCAUGCACCUGACGCAUCCAGAAAAUCCGUGGACCACCUGCCCCGCGACAUAUCCGUAACCGAGAUAGUCGUGCACCGUCGUGAGCAGCGCGGCUCUCAUAGGGAAAUAUUCUUUUUCUGCGGCGUCCCACAUAUUGGCUGGCGUUUUCCACAGCGUGUCAAGCUCCUCUUUCAGCAGCCCCAGAUACAAAUUGAUGUCGUUCCCUGGUUGUUUCGGUCCUUCAAUUAGCAUACUCAUGUGAAUGUACUUCCUCUUCAUGCACAACCAGGGGGAAGGUUGUACAUCCACACAAACACAGGCCAGGUGCUAUGUGUGCUUCUCUGGCUGCCAAACGGAUUGACUCCAUCGGUGCUCGCGCCCAGCACGAUGUUCCUUGGAUCGUUCCCAAAUUCUGGGUCUUCGAAGUUCAACGCUUGCCACUGGCUCGCAUCCUUAGGGUGACUCAACAUCUUGUCUUUUUUAUCUAUCUCCGGAUCAUUUGCAUCAUCUUCUCGCUUCUUCUCCUCCCUAUCCGCGUGCCAACGCAGGAGCUUUGCUACCUUAGGGUCCGCGAAAUACCGCUGCAGACGAGGAGUGAUCGGAAAGUACCACACCACUUUUCGAGGAGCUUUCUUCCUCUUCUUGUAUCGAGUAACGCCGCACACCGGACAUAUGGUAGACUCCGCGUGCUCGUCCCGAUAAAUGAUGCAAUUGUUCAUGCACACAUGGUAUUUCACGUGCGGUAAAUCCAGAGGGCACACGAUUUUCUUCGCCUCCUCCAAACUGGUCGGGCACUUGUUCCCCUCGGGAAGACGUUCGUGCCAGAAUGACAUGUUCUCAUCGAAGCAUGCGUCGGUCAUUUUGUGUUUUACCUUCACCUCCAGAGCCAUGAGCGUUACUUUCAGGCGGGUAUCCUCGGGCCUGCAUCCUUCAUACAAUGGAGUAACCGCGUCUAACUCAAGUUGAUCCAUCUUGGCUUUCUCUCGGGCGGCAGCUCUUGCGUUAUCCGUCUGCUUGAGAAGCAGCUCUUGAAUAUGAGGGUCCUGCACCCAGCCCAUUGAUGGUCCAACGUCGUCUGCUCCACCGGCAUCAUCAUCUUCAUGAUCAUGCCCUUCGUCUGCUCCGGCAUCUUCCUCAUCAUCAUGUCCUGCAUCUUCUACAUGAUGACUGUGUACAGCAUCACCGCCGUGAUAAUCUCCUGGGGAUUCUUCGUCUUCUCGCCCGCCCGAGCCGCGGUGGUUGUCUUGCUGCCCUUCCUCAUUUCUUGCCCGGCCCCCAUGGACGACUUCGUUGUCAUCUUCAUCACCUUGCCACCGAUAGCCAUCCAUGAAACCACGCAAGAGCAGUUGGUCCCGCACCUGUCCGGAUUCCGGGUCCGCAAUAAGGCUCUUCAGCUUGCAUCUUUGACAUGGACAUCUUAUCUCCGUCUCGUUCUUUUGAAGCAUCUCGGCCUUCGUGGACCUCAAAAACCUAUUCACGAUUCCUUCGGUCAUCAUGCGGACCAUGGUCGCCUGCGGGGUAGAGCAAAACGAUAUUUUAGAACCAAGAAAAAAUUUGGCAUGACUUUCCCUAAAAAUAGGACCAAAAAGAAUGCUUAAUGCCAAAAUUCUCGCCGAAAUGGAAAUGAAUCAACAUUCUGGCAAAAUAUUGGCAACUAUCAAAUUUCAAAUACCGGUACACCUCCAAACACAAACACAUAUGCAACACCACAAACAUAUGCAACACCACGAACAUACAUAGAUCUAGCUAGGCCAUAAAAAUGCAUGUGCACAUUGUUGUAGGGAGAACAACAUAAAUAUAGCUUCCCCCCUUACUUACCUAUCAAAACAAGGUAAUUUAACCACUUAAAUUGAAUGAAUCUAUGGUGGAAAUGAGGUGAAAAAGAGGAGGCACCCGAGACAAGGAGGAGGUGGAGAGAAUGAAGUGGGGAGAAAGUGAGUGUGGGUAGGAGAGGCUGUCCAAAAUAUCUUGUUGCUGCCCACUUACUAAUGGCGCACCAACUCUAAAUGCGCCAUUAGUAAUCCAGGUUACUAAUGGCGCACCUCCUGGUGGUGCGCCAUUAGUAGUUUUGCAAAAAAAAUACUAAUGGCGCACUGUCCCACAGUGCGCCAUUACUAGUUUAAACUAGUAAUGGUGCACAGUCGAACAGUGCGCCAUUAGUAGUUUUGCAAAAAAGGGAAUGAAAAUAUAAAAAAAAAACAACAUUAGUGGCGCACUUUCCGGCAGGUGCGCCAUUACUAGUUACAACUAGUAAUGGCGCACUGUGUCUGGAUGCGCCAUUAGUAUGUUUGGACAGGCGCACUAGUUAAAAAAAAUUUGAUACUAAUGGCGCACCCGGGGCUAGGUGCGCCAUUAGUAGUUUCAACUCUAAUGGUGUAUCAGAAGGUGGUGCGCCAUUAGUAUAUACUAAUGGCGCACCGCUUGUCUGGUGCGCCAUUAGUGUCAAUCCCAUCUAUAGCCCUUUUUCUAGUAGUGCGGCAAGUCUCUUUACUCGUUCCGUAAUACAUCAUCCCGCAACUAACUCAUUAGUUGCAAUGCUUGCAAGGCUUAAGUGAUGUGCAUUACCGAGAGGGCCCACAGAUACCUAUCCGACGAUCGGAGUGACAAAUCCCAAUCUUGAAAUACGCCAACCCAACAUGUACCUUUGGAGACACCUGUAGAGCUCCUUUAUAAUCACCCAGUUACGUUGUGACAUUUGGUAGCACACAAAGUGUUCCUCUGGCAAACGGGAGUUGCAUAAUCUCAUAGUCAUAGGAACAUGUAUAAGUCAUGAAGAAAGCAAUAGCAACAUACUAAAUGAUCGGGUGCUGAGCUAAUGGAAUGGGUCAUGUCAAUCAGAUCAUUCAACCAAUGAUGUGAUCCCGUUAAUCAAAUAACAACUCUUUGUCCAUGGUUAGGAAACAUAACCAUCUUUGAUUAACGAGCUAGUCAAGUAGAGGCAUACUAGUGACACUCUGUUUGUCUAUGUAUUCACACAUGUAUUAUGUUUCCGGUUAAUACAAUUCUAGCAUGAAUAAUAAACAUUUAUCAUGAUAUAAGGAAAUAAAUAAUAACUUUAUUAUUGCCUCUAGGGCAUAUUUUCUUCAGUCUCCCACUUGCACUAGAGUCAAUAAUCUAGAUCACAUCGCCAUGUGAUUUAACAUCAAUAGUUCACAUCUUUAUGUGAUUGGUUCACAUCUCCAUGUGACUAACACCCAAAGGGUUUACUAGAUUCAAUAAUCUAGUUCACAUUGCUAUGUGAUUAAGACCCAAAAAGUGAUCAUGUUUUGCUUGUGAGAGAAGUUUAGUCAACGGGUCUGCCACAUUCAGAUCCGCAUGUAUUUUGCAAAUUUCUAUGUCAACAAUGCUCUCCAUGGAGCUACUCUAGCUAAUUGCUCCCACUUUCAAUAUGUAUCCAGAUUGAGACUUAGAGUCAUCUGGAUCAGUGUCAAAGCUUGCAUCGACGUAACCCUUUACGACGAACCUUUUGUCACCUCCGUAAUCGAGAAACAUAUCCUUAUUCCAGUAAGGAUAAUUUUGACCGUUGUCCAUUGAUCUACUCUUAGAUCACUAUUGUACUCCCUCUCUUAACAUAGUGUAUGGUAUACAAUAGAUCUGGUACACAGCAUGGCAUACUUUAUAGAACCUAUGACUGAGGCAUAGGGAAUGACUUUCAUUCUCUUUCUAUCUUCUGCCGUGGUCGGGCUCUGAGUCUUACUCAACGUCACACCUUGUAACACAGGCAAGAAACUUUUUCUUUGACUGUUCCAUUUUGAACUACUUCAAAAUCUUGUCAAGGUAUGUACUCAUUGAAAAACUUAUCAAGCGCCUUGAUCUAUCUCUAUAGAUCUUGAUACUCAAUAUGUAAGCAGCUUUACCGAGGUCUUUCUUUGAAAAACUCCUUUCAAACACUCCUUUAUGCUUUGCAGAAUAAUUCUACAUUAUUUCCGAUCAACAAUAUGUCAUACACAUAUACUUAUCAGAAAUGAUGUAGUGCUCCCACUCACUUUCUUGUAAAUACAGGCUUCACCGCAAGUCUGUAUAAAACUAUAUGCUUUGAUCAACUUAUCAAAGCAUAUAUUCCAACUCCGAGAUUCUUGCACCAGUCCAUAGAUGGAUCGCUGGAGCUUGCAUAUUUAGUUAACACCUUUAGGAUCGACAAAACCUUCUAGUUGCAUCGUAUACAACUCUUCUUUAGUAAAUCCAUUAAGGAAUGCAGUUGUGUUUAUCCAUUUGCCAGAUUUCAUAAAAUGCGGCAAUUGCUAACAUGAUUCGGACAGAUUUAAGCAUAGAUACGAGUGAGAAACUCUCAUCGUAGUCAACACCUUGAACUUGUCGAAACCCUUUUGCGACAAUUCUAGCUUUGUAGAUAGUAACACUACUAUCAGCGUCAGUCUUCCUCUUGAAGAUCCAUUUAUUUUCUAUGGCUUGCCGAUCAUUGGGCAAGUCAACCAAAGUCCAUACUUUGUUCUCAUACAUGGAUCCCAUCUCAGAUUUCAUGGCCUCAAGCCAUUUUGCGGAAUCUGGGCUCAUCAUCGCUUCCUCAUAGUUCGUAGGUUCGUCACGGUCAAGUAACAUGACCUCCAGAAUAGGAUUACCGUACCACUCUGGUGCGGAUCUCACUCUGGUUUACCUACGAGAUUCGGUAGUAACUUGAUCUGAAGUUACAUGAUCAUCAUCAUUAGCUUCCUCACUAAUUGGUGUAGUAGUCACAGGAACAGAUUUCUGUGAUGAACUAUUUUCCAAUAAGGGAGAAGGUACAAUUACCUUAUCAAGUUUUCUAUUUUCCUCCCACUCACUUCUUUCGAGAGAAACUCCUUCUCUAGAAAGGAUCCAUUCUUAGCAACGAAUGUCUUGCCUUCGGAUCUGUGAUAGAAGGUGUACCCAACUGUCUCCUUUGGGUAUCCUAUGAAGACAUAUUUCUCCGAUUUGAGUUUGAGCUUAUCGAGAUGAAACUUUUUCACAUAAGCAUCGCAACUCCAAACUUUAAGAAAUGACAGCUUAGGUUUCUUGCCAAACCAUAGUUCACACGGUGUCGUCUCAACGGAUUUAGAUGGUGCCCUAUUUAACGUGAAUGCAGCUGUCUCUAAUGCAUAACCCCAAAACGAUAGUGGUAGAUCGGUAAGAGACAUCAUAGAUCGCACUAUAUCUAAUAAAGUACAGUUAUGACGUUCAGACACACCAUUACACUAUGGUGUUCUAGGUGGCAUGAGUAGUGAAACUAUUUCACAUUGUUUUAAUUGAAGGCCAAACUCGUAACUCAAAUAUUUUACCUCUGCGAUCAUAUCGUAGAAACUUUUAUUUUCUUGUCACGAUGAUUUUCCACUUCACUUUGAAAUUCUUUGAACUGUUCAAAUGUUUCAGACUUAUGUUUCAUCAAGUAGAUAUCCCCAUAUCUGCUCAAAUCAUCUGUGAAGGUCAGAAAAUAAUGAUACCUGCUGCAAGCCUUAAUAUUCAUCGGACCACAUACAUCAGUAUGUAUGAUUUCCAACAAAUCUGUUGCUUGCUUCAUUGUUCCGGAGAACGGCGUUUUAGUCAUCUUGCCCAUAAGGCAUGGUUCGCAAGCAUCAAGUGAUUCAUAAUCAAGUGAUUCCAAAAGCCCAUCAGCAUGGAGUUUCUUCAUGCGCUUUACACCAAUAUGACCUAAACGGCAGUGCCACAAAUAAGUUGCACUAUCAUUAUUAACUUUGCAUCUUUUGGUUUCAAUAUUAUGAAUAUGUGUAUCACUACGAUCGAGAUCCAAUGAACUUAUUUCAUUGGGUGUAUGACCAUUGAAGGUUUUAUUCAUGUAAACAGAACAACAAUUAUUCUCUGACUUUAAUGAAUAACCAUAUUGCAAUAAACAUGAUCAAAUCAUAUUCAUGCUCAACGCAAAAACCAAAUAACACUUAUUUAGGUUCAACACUAAUCCCGAAAGUAUAGGGGAGUGUGCGAUGAUGAUCAUAUCAAUCUUGGAACUACUUACAACACACAUCGUCACUUCACCCUUAACUAGUCUCUGUUUAUUCUGCAACUCCUUUUUCGAGUUACUACUCUUAGCAACUGAUCCAGUAUCAAAUACUGAGGGGUUGCUAUAAACACUAGUAAAGUACACAUCAACAACAUGUAUAUCAAAUAUACUUUUGUUCACUUUGCCAUCCUUCUUAUCCGCCAAAUACUUGGGGCAGUUCCGCUUCCAGUGACCAGUCCCUUUGCAGUAGAAGCACUUAGUCUCAGGCUUAGGACCAGACUUGGGCUUCUUCACUUGAGCAGCAACUUGCUUGCUGUUCUUCUUGAAGUUCUCCUUCUUCCCUCUGCCCUUUUCUUGAAACUAGUGGUCUUGUCUACCAUCAACACUUGAUGUUUUUCUCGAUUUCUACCUUCGUCAAUUUCCGCAUUACGAAGAGCUUGGGAAUCGUUUCCGUUAUCCCUUGCAUAUCAUAGUUCAUCACGAAGUUCUACUAACUUGGUGAUGGUGACUAGAGAAUUAUGUCAAUCACUAUCUUAUCUGGAAGAUUAACUCCCACUUGAUUCAAGCGAUUGUAGUACUCACACAAUCUGAGCACAUGCUCACUAGUUGAGCGAUUCUCCUCCAUCUUUUAGCUAUAGAACUUGUUGGAAACUUCAUAUCUCUCAACUCGGGUAUUUGCUUGAAAUAUUAACUUCAAUUCCUGGAACAUCUCAUAUGUUCCAUGACGUUCAAACCGUCUUUGAAGUCCCGAUUCUAAGCCAUUAAGCAUGGUGCACUAAACUAUCAAGUAGUCAUCAUAUUGAGCUAGCCAAACAUUCAUAACAUCUGCCUCUGCUCCUGCAAUAGGGCUGUCACCUAGCGGUGCAUCAAGGACAUAAUUCUUCUGUGCAGCAAUGAGGAUAAACCUCAGAUCACGGAUCCAAUCCGCAUCAUUGCUACUAACAUCUUUCAACACAAUUUUCUCUAGGAACAUAUCAAAAUAAACACAGGGAAGCAACAACGCGAGCUAUUGAUCUACAACAUAAUUUGCAAAAUACUACCAGGACUAAGUUCAUGAUAAAUUUAAGUUCAAUUAAUCAUAUUACUUAAGAACUCCCACUUAGACAGACAUCCCUCUAAUCCUCUAAGUGAUCACGUGAUCCAAAUCAACUAAACCAUGUCCGAUCAUCACGUGAGAUGGAGUAGUUUCAAUGGUGAACAUCACUAUGUUGAUCAUAUCUACUAUAUGAUUUACGCUCGACCUUUCGGUCUCCAUGUUCCGAGGCCAUAUCUGUAUAUGCUUGGCUCGUCAAGUAUAACCUGAGUAUUCCGCGUGUGCAACUGUUUUGCACCCGUUGUAUUUGAACAUAGAGCCUAUCACACCCGAUCAUCACGUGGUGUCUCAGCACGAAGAACUUUUGCAACGGUGCAUACUCAGGGAGAACACUUCUUGAUAAUUAGUGAGAGAUCGUCUUAUAAUGCUACCGUCAAUCAAAGCAAGAUAAGAUGCAUAAAAGAUAAACAUCACAUGCAAUCAAAAUAUGUGACAUGAUAUGGCCAUUAUCAUCUUGUGCCUUUGAUCUCCAUCUCCAAAGCACCGUCAUGAUUUCCAUCGUCAUCGGCAUGACACCAUGAUCUCCAUCAUCUUGAUCUAUAUCAAUAUGUCGUCACAUGGUCGUCUCGCCAACUAUUGCUCUUGCAACUAUUUCUAUCGCAUAGUGAUAAAGUAAAGCAAUUAUUUGGCACUUGCAUCUUAUGCAAUAAAUAGACAACCAUAAGGCUUUUGCCAGUUGCCGAUAACUUCAACAAAACAUGAUCAUCUCAUACAACAACUUAUAUCUCAUCAUGUUUUGACCAUAUCACAUCACAACAUGCCCUGCAAAAACAAGUUAGAUGUCCUCUACUUUGUUGUUGCAAGUUUUACGUGGCUGCUACGGGCUUAAGCAAGAACCAAUCUUACCUACACAUCAAAACCACAACGAUAGUUUGUCAAGUUGGUGCUGUUUUAACCUUCGCAAGGACCGGGCAUAGCCACACUCGGUUCAACUAAAGUUGGAGAAACUGACACCAGCCAGCCACCUGUGUGCAAAGCACGGCGGUAGAACCAGUCUCGCGUAAGCGUACGCGUAAUGUCGGUCCAGGCCGCCUCGUCCAACAAUACCGCCGAACCAAAGUAUGACAUGCUGGUAAGCAGUAUGACUUAUAUCGCCCACAACUCACUUGUGUUCUACUCGUGCAUAUAACAUCAAACCAUAAAAACCUAGGCUCGGAUGCCACUGUUGGGGAACGUAGUAAUUUCAAAAUUUUCCUACGCACACGCAAGAUCAUGGUGAUGCAUAGCAACGAGAGGGGAGAGUGUUGUCUACGUACCUUCGUAGACCGAAGCGGAAGCGUUGACGCAACGUAGAGGAAGUAGUCGUACGUCUUCCCGAUCCGACUGAUCCAAGCACCGUUACUCCGGCACCUCCGAGUUCUUGGCACACGUUCAGCUCGAUGACGAUCCCCGGGCUCCGAUCCAGCAAAGUGUCGGGGAGGAGUUCCGUCAGCACGACGGCGUGGUGACGAUCUUGAUGUUCUACCGUCGCAGGGCUUCGCCUAAGCACUGCAACAAUAUGACCGAGGUGGAAUAUGGUGGAGGGGGGCACCGCACACGGUUAAGGAACGAUCAUGAAGAUCAACUUGUGUUGUUAUGGGGUGCCCCUGCCUCCGUAUAUAAAGGCCCAAGGGGGGGGGGUGCGGCCGGCCUAGGAGAGGCGCGCUAGGAGGAGUCCUACUCCCUCUGGGAGUAGGAUCCCCCCCCCAAUCCUAGUUGGAAUAGGAUUCACGGAGGGGGGAAAAGAGAGAGGGGGGGCGGCCCCCUCUCCUUGUCCUAUUCGUACCAAGGGAGGGGAGGGGCGCGCGGCCCAUCUAGGGAUGCCCCUUCUCUUUUCCACUAAGGCCCACUUAGGCCCAUAUAGCUCCCGGGGGGUUCCGGUAACCUCCCGGUACUUCGGUAAAAUCCCGAUUUCACCCGAAACACUUCCGAUAUCCAAACAUAGGCUUCCAAUAUAUCAAUCUUUAGGUCUCGGCCAUUUCGAGACUCCUCAUCAUGCCCGUGAUCACAUCCGGGACUCCGAACAACCUUCGGUACAUCAAAAUGUAUAAACUCAUAAUAUAACUGUCAUCGUAACCUUAAGCGUGCGGACCCUACGGUUCGAGAACAAUGUAGACAUGACCGAGACACGUCUCCGGUCAAUAACCAAUAGCGGGACCUAGAUGCCCAUAUUGGCUCCUACAUAUUCUACGAAGAUCUUUAUCGGUCAGACCGCAUAACAACAUACGUUGUUCCCUUUGUCAUUGGUAUGUUACUUGCCUGAGAUUCGAUCGUCGGUAUCCAAUACCUAGUUCAAUCUCGUUACCGGCAAGUCUCUUUACUCGUUCCGUAAUACAUCAUCCCGCAACUAACUCAUUAGUUGCAAUGCUUGCAAGGCUUAAGUGAUGUGCAUUACCGAGAGGGCCGAGAGAUACCUCUCCGACGAUCGGAGUGACAAAUCCCAAUCUUGAAAUACGCCAACCCAACAUGUACCUUUGGAGACACCUGUAGAGCUCCUUUAUAAUCACCCAGUUACGUUGUGACAUUUGGUAGCACACAAAGUGUUCCUCUGGCAAACGGGAGUUGCAUAAUCUCAUAGUCAUAUGAACAUGUAUAAGUCAUGAAGAAAGCAAUAGCAACAUACUAAACGAUCGGGUGCUAAGCUAAUGGAAUGGGUCAUGUCAAUCAGAUCAUUCAACUAAUGAUGUGAUCCCGUUAAUCAAAUAACAACUCUUUGUCCAUGGUUAGGAAACAUAACCAUCUUUGAUUAACGAGCUAGUCAAGUAGAGGCAUACUAGUGACACUCUGUUUGUCUAUGUAUUCACACAUGUAUUAUGUUUCCGGUUAAUACAAUUCUAGCAUGAAUAAUAAACAUUUAUCAUGAUAUAAGGAAAUAAAUAAUAACUUCAUUAUUGCCUCUAGGGCAUAUUUUCUUCAUGAUUUGUAGAGGAUAAGUAAUUGUAACUUACCCAGUAAAUGGGAUCAAGGAGGAAAUAUGGUCGGGACCAUAACUACAAGGGAUCCAAUUCCCGAUACCGGAAGAAUUAUUCAAAUGGUUAAAUAUCCUUGCAAGAAGCUUUCAUGAUAAGUCCCACACCGUGUCCGUGGGCAUGAACACAAGGUUCAGGGUCGACUCCCACUUCUACAAUGCAUAACCUUUCAUUUUACUUCUUGCUCUCGGUGCAUCUGUAGUACUGAAAUUUUAUCUGACAAAAAGCUAGUAGAGUAUAAUCCGCAUAACUUUCGAGUUCACAUAGAUUAGGGAAGGCAUAGGUUCUACCCAUCGAGGCAUCUUAGGAACAUGUAUCAUAAAUUUCAAGAAUAAUAACACAAGCUCGGUAGUAGAGCAUGCUUGAGAAAGCGGAGGAUACAAUUUACCAAAAGCAUUAUGUAUCUGAGGAAAAGGCUACAAGGUUACUGAAUAUGAAGGACGUUGUUGGAUAAAAUCCGAAAAAAGGGUCUGGUGGUCCACAAGGGAUCUGAUGUGAGCAUCAGUACUCAAUCAGAGGAAGAAAGAAUGGAAGGAGAUCAGAUUAUAGAAACAACUGGCUAACACAAAGCCCAAUUGCAAAGGAAUUAUGACUUCCAAGAGAAGGGAUCAGAAGCAAUGCUCUGAUUAGGGAUGGAUAGGUAGAAUAGCCUUAGGGUACAAUCGAUGGCGAUUUGAUUGAUCGAGAUUCAGCACAUGUUAAAAUGAAGUCUGAGUCGGAAGGAUGAAUUCUAGGAUCUGAUUGAGGAUGGCGAGCAUUCACAACAUAUUGUAUCGACGACUCAAAAUGGUAAUGACAAUGGCUGAUAAUAAGAUUACUAGACUUAUGGUAUUAACCACAAUGCAAGCAAGCAAGAAAUUCAAGAACAAUAGGCUAUUGAGGAUUUUCACAAGAACGAAUGGUAUUACGAAGACUUUUGUGAAGUACAUGAGUCAACUGAGUAUGAGCGGAUACUCGAUAGGUGCACAAGGUUAUCCGUAGGGGUAUUCAGAUGACAAGGAACUGCAAGGCAGUAAGCUCAGUGAUUCUCGGAAAAAGAAGCGCAGUUCAGGGCAUCUUGUAAUAACAAGAUCAACAGGAUGGAAUGUAAGAUUGGCAAGUGUGUGUAGUUAUCCAUAAGGAUAUCUCAGUGGUAGGGAAUUGCAAAGGCAUCAGGCAGAAAGCCUCGAGAGAAUAUCGUAGAGUAUCUUCGGAAUAUUCUGAUGCAGCAGGCGAUCAUCUAAAAUAAGGGACUCUCCAGGCGGAUGUGAUCACAAGAUCCUAAUGUUUGAGUUAGUAAAACCAUUUAACCUGAAUAGAAGAGAGAUCAGAGUCCCAGAGUAUAGACGAGGAAUAAAAGAUCCUAAUACCUCCCAUAUGGCGACAUGGGCCCAUAAGCCACACAGUCAUGUUAGUAAAAAAAUUAGUGACUAGACUCAACUUCGGCCAAGGAGUUGGAAAGGGGGCUACCUACAGGCAGCUGGCUCUGAUACCAACUUGUGACGCCCUCGAUUUGAUCGUACACUAAUCAUACACGCAAAUGUGUACGAUCAAGAUCAAGGACUCACGAGAAGAUAUCUCAACACAACUCUAGACACAAAUUAAAAUAAUACAAGCUUUAUAUUACAAGCCAGGGGCCUCGAGGGCUCGAAUACACAAGAGUCAGUGGAAGCAACAAUAUCUGAGUACAGACAUAAGUUAGACAAGUGUGCCUUAAGAAGGCUAGCACAAAAGCAACAAUGAUCGAAAAUGCAAGGCCUCCUGCCUGGGAGCCUCCUAACUACUCCUAGUCGUCGGCGGUCUUCACGUAGUAGUAGGCAUCCUCCGGGUAGUAGUAGUCAUCGGUGGCGUCGUCUGGCUCCUGGGCUCCGUCAUCUGGUCGCAACAAACGGGUAUGGGGGAAAAGAAGUAGCAAAGCAUCCGUGAGUACUCAUCCAAAGUACUCGCAAGACUUACAUCAGAUCUAAACUAAGUAUGCAUCUGUAUCAAAGGAAUGGGUUGUAUCUAUGGACUAAACUGCAGAAUGCCAGAAGGGAAGGGGAAAGCCUAGCCUAUCGAAGACUAGCAUCUUCUAGAAACCACCAUCUUGCAGCAACAGGAGGGAGUGGAGUAACAUAAGGUAAAGUAGCAGUAGAGUUAUCAACCUCGGCCAGAGAUCCUUUCUCGACUCUCUGCGAGAAAGCAAUCCCAGAGCCAUACUAUCCAGUUAUCAUCUCAUAUCCAAGUCUCAUCACAAUCCAUUUCUCAUCACAAGUAUCCAGUUCUAGUUGUAUCGAUCGGGAUACAACUCCAAGUGUCCGUUACCGUAGGACAGGCUAUCGAUAAAUGUUUUCUUCCCUGCAGGGGUGCACCAACUUACCCACCACGCUCGAUUAACUCCGGCCGAACACACUUUCCUGGGUCAUGCCCGGCCUCGGCCAAACAAUACGCCGCAACCUGACCUAGGCUUAAUAGAGAGGCCAGCACGCCGGACUAAACCUAUGCCCCCAGGGGUCAUGGGCCAUCUCCCCGGGAACUCCCGCACGUUGCGAACGCGGCCGGUGAGCAGACCUAGCUACCUCAUUCAACAAGGCAGGCGCUUACGCAGUCCAACCCGGUGCGCGCCACUUAGUCACUGACGUCUAUUAAACUUUGGCUGAUGUAUACGACGCAGAACGCCCAUACUAUGCCCAUGUGAUGGUUAGUGCUAUCAGGCCAGAGGCCCCUCGGGUCAAAUAUCCAAAUCGUAGUGGAUUGGGAGCACGCGGUAACAAGCAGAGACUCACGAAAGAUGUGACCCCGUUGCCCCGUCUCGAGUACUUGCGGCAAGGGCUAAGAGUGCCCGGCCACGCCUCCUAGUUAUAUCGCGGGCACCUUCCAGGUCAACCCGACUCCAGAUCACUCGCUAUUAAGCUCGCGCGGGUACCUUCCAGGUCAACCCGUCUUUAGUAACAUGGUUCAGUGUAAAGUCAUAGUAACCAUAGUAACUGUGUGUCUAACACCAAGUGGAAAACCCCGAGGAAUCACCCCCGGUGAAUUCCACUCGAUGUUGUCAUCAAGGUGAACGUAAGAGGAUCCACCCUCGAGGUUCACAUUUGAUGGGUUGCGCGACAGAGCCGUAACGGAAGUGGUUAAGGAGGAAAUCACCCUCGAUGACCUCGACCAUAUAGCUACACUACAGAGAUCUCAUCAGGAGUGAUGUAAGAGGUUCCACCCUCGGCACUCGAUGGUAACUCUGCAGAGUCGUACAACUAAGGGGAGUGAUGUGUGGUGUCGGGGUCUGGACAUCGAUCACGUUGAUCGAGUCAUCGAACAUAAAGCGAGGCAACUGGGACAAGGUGGGGUCACUGAUGGAUCACUAACCAACCUAUACUACGCAGUUUAGGAUAAACAGGUAAGGUAUGAAAGCAGGUAACAACAACAGGCUAUGCAUCAGAGUAGGAUCAUACAGAAAGGAGUAGCAGUUCUAAUGCAAGCAUGAGAGGGAAAGAAAUGGGCGAUAUCGAAAUGCUCAAGGGGGGUUUGCUUGCCUGUUUGCUCUGGCAAGGAGGGGGUCGUCGUCGACGUAGUCGAUCACAAGGGCAGCAUCGGU